rnacentral:piRNA from 1 species
UGAGAAAGCCUAUACAGGAUGAACAUGUC